CCUACGGGAGGCAGCAGUCGGGAAUAUUGCACAAUGGGGGAAACCCUGAUGCAGCGACGCCGCGUGAGUGAAGAAGUAAUUCGUUACGUAAAGCUCUAUCAGCAGGGAAGAAAAUGACGGUACCUGAGUAAGAAGCCCCGGGUAACUACGUGCCAGCAGCCGCGGUAAUGCGUAGGGGGCAAGCGUUAUCCGGAUUUACUGGGUGUAAAGGGAGCGUAGACGGAGCGGCAAGUCUGGGGUGAAAUGCCGCAGCUUAACUGCGGAACGGCUUUGGAAACUGGGAAACUAGAGUGAUGGAGGGGGUAGCGGAAUUCCUAGGGGAGCAGUGAAAUGCGUAGAUAGUAGGAGGAACACUGGUGGCGAAGGCGGGUUACUGGACCGUAACUGACGUUGAGGCUCGAAGGCGUGGGGAGCAAACAGGAUUAGAUACCCUAGUAGUC
rnacentral:rRNA from 1 species